CAUUGAAAGCAGGAUUAGUGUUGCCAAAUUUCUUCUCUCUGUUCUUCAGAUCAAGCUUCCCACUGCGCCUCUUGACCUAAACAGAUCAACUCCACCUGCAAGAUGCCCCCCAUUAGUGAGGCCAGUCCAGCCAUCCCAAUGCAUACAACUCCAUAAAAAAGACCUGCAAACAUUGAGUGAAAGUCCUAGCGCAGGUUUCAGGAGCUGUACCUGAUCAGGAGCAGAGAUGAGUCCUGUGGUCCAUGGGUCACAACUUUUAU